rnacentral:lncRNA from 11 species
UUCUGAAGCAAAUUUGGAAAUAAACUUUUAAGAAGAAUGAAUGUGAUGACAUGCUGAUGAUAGAAUGAUGCUCAGGGAUUGUCAUCCCUGCUUGCUACUAUUGGAAGACAGGCAGUUUCCAAAAACUUUGUCUGAUAACAUUUUGAAUUGGAGAAGAUCCGAGGACUGAUAUCUGCCUUCACUGAAGACCGUGAAUGCCUUCACUGGAGACUGCCAAUGACCACAAAUUAAC